rnacentral:pre_miRNA from 9 species
UCUCUAGAGCAUAAAAGUUAAAUCAAAUUUGUAUGAAGUCGGAACGUUUGUCUACGUUUGCCGCUAGGCACUGUUCGACCUGCUUACAAAUUUGAGUUAACUUUUACGCGAUCGA